rnacentral:rRNA from 1 species
AACGAACGCUGGCGGCAUGCCUAACACAUGCAAGUCGAACGAGACCUUCGGGUCUAGUGGCGCACGGGUGCGUAACGCGUGGGAACCUGCCCUUAGGUUCGGAAUAACUCCCCGAAAGGGGUGCUAAUACCGGAUAAUGUCUUCGGACCAAAGAUUUAUCGCCUUUGGAUGGGCCCGCGUUGGAUUAGCUAGUUGGUAGGGUAAAAGCCUACCAAGGCGACGAUCCAUAGCUGGUCUGAGAGGAUGAUCAGCCACACUGGGACUGAGACACGGCCCAGACUCCUACGGGAGGCAGCAGUGGGGAAUAUUGGACAAUGGGCGAAAGCCUGAUCCAGCAAUGCCCGUGAGUGAUGAAGGCCUUAGGGUUGUAAAGCUCUUUUACCCGGGAUGAUAAUGACAGUACCGGGAGAAUAAGCUCCGGCUAACUCCGUG